rnacentral:tRNA from 1 species
GCGGGAAUGGCUCAACGGUAGAGCGUCACCUUCCCAAGGUGAACGUUGCGAGUUCGAAUCUCGUUUCCCGCUCCA